UAUAGUAACCCAACCACUGUAUUACCAUGGCAUUCCAUGCAGAACUUGUAAUUGCCUGGAAAAUAACAAUAAAUAAAACAUGAUAUUUCGUGUAUCAUGUGAGUGUAUGAUUAAGCCAAAACAUAAGAAAUUACUUUAACAAAUAUUAAAACCAACCAUUUACAAUAAUAAGGGGCCAAUGUAUCAAAAUUCAGGUUUGUUUUUUCAUGAUUUGAGAAAAACGCAGUAAAUAAAUGCAAAUGCAACUAUACUCGAAUAUUCUUAAGAAUCAUGAAUAGUCGUUAUUUAUUAAAGAAAAAAUCCUUUAAAAGUCGCUAGGAAAAAAACUUGGCAAGUAAAAGCUGACGAGGUUCAAUAGAACUCAAUGGGGCUGAUUCACAAAAUGUUGAAAUAGUGGGAGUUAUUUUUAGCAUGCUCUAAAAAUAGUAUCACUACUUUUUUAUAAUUAACGAUCGAUUAAUCAAAAGUUCACUUGUCUGACUUGAGAAGCAAUGUUAUUUUCAUUAUUUUUCAGUGAGCCAUGGGCAUUAUUUUUUAGCAUGCAAUAUUUUAUUUGUUAUUUUGAAGCAUGCAAUAUGAUUACGCAUUAUCUAUAGCACGUGAUGUUAUCAUGUGCUAUUACCCAGGUAACCAUUACACGUCACAGAUCACAUAACUUCCACCAUUUCCGCUCUGAAUCGCAAAAUGGAGGAUGCAGAUAAUGCAGGUUUAUAGUCUGCACAAACACCACCACAAGACCCCCCCUCACCUUGCUACUCAAAGAUCGGAGAGGAGAGACAGUACUGAUUCAGGUGACAGUCGCGGUAUUAAAAAUAUAAAAAUGAAACGUCAGCAAAGUAGGCAUGGCAUGAUUGGGCAUGAUAGAGGUGACAAUAGUAUGAGGCAUUUUGCUAAAUGUUUUGCAAAUCCAGAAUUGUCUAACAGUGACAUUGAGGAAGAGAGGUCUCAUUUCUCAUAACAGCCUAGAAGAUUUCUCAGAUAUUGAACUUACAAAGAUUUUCUUCCUGAGGAAAAAAAUGAAAUAGAAAGUAAAGAAAAAAACAAAAUGAAGAAAAAAGAUCAACAGAACAGAGUGAGAAAUCUGAAAUUGACAGUUUGAAAAAUAUUAGUGCUAUUCUAUGACAGAUUAAUUGGAAGAUAUUCAACAAAAACUGCUACUGCCCUAAAAAGUAAAAUAGUGGAAAGAAAUAGCUGACCAUGUGAAUAGUAUACGUGUGUGUCCAAAAUAUAAAAAGGGUCUCUGAUGAAUCUAAAUGUAGGUACAAAUCACGAGCAAAUGUUUUCAUUUAUAUUAAUAUUUGCUAAUCUGCUUCUCCUUGUGUAAAUAUUAUUUUAUUCUUUCCUGCUUUCUUUACCUUCAUCUUUUACUUACGACGUACAACUUUAUUUGUACUACUUAUGUACCCAAGGCUGUACAGUAGAAUAAUUAUUAUAAAAAUAAAGACAACAAACGGGGUCAUUACAGUAAUAUAAAAAAAAAGUAUGAUAAGGGCCUGUACUCCUUGAUGGAGGAGAAUUCUGGAAGCAGUGUUUAAUACAGAAUGUAAGGGAGAGAGAUGGGAGUUGGGGAGGCCAGUUAAUAGCAGGUUGCAGUAGUUUAGUCAGGUUAGUAUGAGAGCAUGCGAAAAAGUGACAGGAUGUUAUGGGAUAGCUAAUUCUAGGCAACCCAAUAAAAGCAUUAUAUAUUUCUUUAAGGUCUGGAACUGAAGGUGGUCCUUUUAAAAAAAAGUUUUCACUGCUUAUGAAGAAAUGCUGAUGCCUCUUCUUUAUGAAGACUGCGUGACUGGUGUCCCUGGUGUUUAUGAUUCAGACAAAGAAUCAGCAUUAACAUCUAUCACAAGCAAAGCCAAACAAUCAUCACAUUCUAUCAUUCCAGAUAAAGCUCCAAGAGGUGACUCAGUAAGUCAGCAAGACCACUCUUCAGUGAACCUACAUGAUCUCUUGAAAUGGAAGACAGAAGGUUUAUUGUUGAUGAUACUGCAACACAGUGUCCUGAAAAUAUAACAGAUUAUGCUGAAUUUUCAGAUUUUGUGAAUGAGGAUGGUAAUGAUAAUAAUGCUAACCCCACAAAAUGCCCACAACAUUUACAUCAUAAUCGUAAGGUGACAUCCACAAGUAGUAAUCUUAGAGCAAAAACAGUUUAAGAAGAAAAAAAAUUGUUUCCAUAUGUUUUGUUGUUCAUCUUGAUUUGUGUAUUGCCACAACAUAUUACAACAAAUUCAGGGAUGAAAAGCCUCUUACAUGGCCUCUCUGUUAAAGAUGCAUCAGCAAGACGUAAAGGUCAAAAAACAGCAUAUUACUUUGUUGGAAAAAAAAUGUGAUUUUAGACAACACAAGUAAUUGUCAACAGGACCUGCACAAACAGUUGCUAAGUGUUAUAGAUAGAAGUUUAGUGUUGGCAACAUGCUGUUGUGGGAAAGAUAGACUAGACAACUUUGUAAAAACUUUGUAAAAAGAAAAUAUAUUGUUGAUAUGCUGAGGGGCAGAUUUAUUUAAAGUGUUUGAUUAGAGCUCACCACUG